UGGACGUGGCUGGAGGUAAACAUUAACACGGGAGGGACAGGACCCGCCCACCUGGCAACAGAGGAGCGCCCGGCGAGCACUGACCGUCCGUCCUGUUUGUUGUUUUCAAAGUGAAACUCAGUAUAGACGGAGGAACCCACGCCCGCUCUCUCGGCUGAUCCAUACCUCAAGCGGGACACCCUUCCCCCCUGGCCGCCUUCGUAAAUACAUGAUACCGCACACCACCACGCCCGCUGUCACACCCUGCUGACACUCAAUGCGGGCUGCUGUCAUACUAGAGACCUUAAAACAAGCUACAAACACAACACGACCCGGCUUGGUGUACUGUCAUUAACAACGAUUACCAUGUCUCACCGAGUGACGUGUGUGCACUCCUUGCACUGUCACACCGCGUCCCAGUGAAGCAUUAGAAGCGCCAGGAAUGGGAGGAGGACAGGACGAGGUGAGGCCGAUGUAGAAAGGAAGGAAAGGAAGGAAGGAGCUGCCGCCAUGGUUCAGGCGUCUAUUGUUACACGGCAGCCAGCAGCCAGGGCGGAGCUGCUGCGACCUGCCGGGUACAAGGAAGGGCCUGUAACCUACCUUGGAAUACAGUUGGACGGUGUUCUGUCCACUUCCCAUGUGGCAAACAGCUUCAUGGGCACGGGCUUGAUGCCCAGCCCCAAAAUGGUCUGCUUCUCGGCCAUGACCGUGGAGUCCGGCGCUCAACACAAGGGGUUUUGGGACGCCUGCCUCGGCGCCUCAACACACGUCGUAGGAGCCUCCCUCACACGUCGUACUCCAUCGUCACAGUUACCGGACGAUAAAUAUUCGCGAUUCCUGAUAGCAGCUUCUACCACUGAUCACUUUCACACCAACAUACACUCCAGACAACCACCGUUCACAGAAUUAUAGCCAGAGCGCCUGAUGCUGCCAGUAAGAAGCUGAAUAAGCUCCACAAACACCGGUGUCUGGCAACAGAACCACCUCACAACGGACGGGCCAGGCGCACACUGCCUCAGCCACACAACAACAGCUGCUUCUCCUCCUCAUCAUCGCACACAAAUACGGAGGCCACGGCUGACACUCAUCCACGUGUAGAAUCUCAGUGAUAGCUGUCACACGAAGCGGCAAACAGAUCCAUACUUAUUUUUACUUCAUUUAUAACACUUUUUUGUAAGUAAUUAGUAUGACAAGUUGAUAAACAUUCUGAACUGCCUUA